AGUUUCCCGAGAGGAUUCUAUCUAGUAGGGCAUUUAGCCCAGACAAAGCUGUUGCAUUCCAAUGCUGCUCUCCAAUUAUCAAUGGCCAUCGAAACCUACAGAACAAAAAAGGAAGAUUUAUCACAGAAGUAGCAGAAGACGAUAUUUCGUCAACAAUCUGGAAUCACUGACAGACGAGAGACACUUGAGCGAAUGUCAAGCUGUCAAGCUGGCAAGCUGCCUUCCCUUCCAUUGUAAAAGCAUUUUUAUCACUCGGGGAUUUCGUCUGUUGUGAUGUGUGAUGCUGCGGUGGUGGCUUUUUGCUGAUGAAGACGAAAUACAAAUUUGAAGGGGAGAAUAUUACGCUCUGCGUGUAGGAAGGAACGCGAAAGGCAACUAGCCAAGUACAAGUAGCCUACCAUCAAUUCUUUCAUAAAAAAUGGUCGUUCUACUGAAUGCUUCAUCCCAUUAAUACAGGUCACUAACCCCAGCGUGGACACACAUUGUUUUUUCCAACAUGUUUCUACAAAUAAAGACAAAGAAAGCUAUGGGAACAUAAUCGGAUACCCACAUAAUCAAGGCCAUGGAUUCAAGAUUACUAACUGUUGAUGCCAAAGUUAGAACUUUGGAACUCUAACUCAAACACUUAUUCUUUUCCUGACAAAAUUGUUAGUUGUAUUAUUUGUCUUGACCCUCCAUACUUGCUGUGAGUAUUAUAGAUUGUUAAUGUUGAAUUAGUUAAGGAGAACGAUCCGAAAUUGCUAACUAAAAGAAUUUGUGUGUUGUGUCAUAGGGAAAGCUGCUUGAGUAAUCUAUCUAGUGUCCAUCCCCACUUGAUUCAUUUCGUGCCAGCUGGUUGAAAGGCGUGACGAAUUCAAAUUAAGCCGCUACGUGCUGUCUGCAAGCAAGCAAUUCAAUUGGCUGUCGCUAGGUGGCGCGAGUGUCUUGAGGGGACUAAAUUCGGCCAUUUUGCACCUUGACGCAGCUGAAGUGGGAUGCCGGUCGUGACGUUUCGCAUGAUGAAAAUAUAAAGAUUAUUUCAAUGCCACUUUGUCAAAUCAUCUAACUCGGACUUGAGUGCCUGUUCAUUUUGCCGAAAUGUCGUGCCUCGUGUGUCUUGCUGCCAGUACCCAGUCGUACGUCUCGUCCCAAACAAAAGCAAAAGUCUGCUGUUGGUUUACUUGUUGCAGCGAGAUGGUGAAAGGUGUGAUGACGUCUAAUUGAACCAUUGUAUGCAGCGUGUUGUUGCAGUGUUAUCCAGAAGUAGCUGCUCAGUGUGGCAGUAUCCUGAAGCAGCCUGAAGCCUGAAGUUGCCAGUGAUAUCCGGGUUGCUGACUUGGAAAUUUUUCUGUUUUCAUUUGUGUCUUUUGCUCUGCCAAUGGUAUCCUGAGUUGCAGACUUUAAAUCUUUCUAUCUGUUCUCAUUUGUUCGUGUUUUUUUUUUGCUCUACCACUGAUUUCCUAUGUUGUUGUUUUGAAAUCGUUUCAUCUGUCUUCUUUGGCGUUUUUACUUGUGCACAUGUGCAGUAUACGAUUGAGGCAACCUGUCCUAUGACAGGUUUGACUCGGUCGACAACUGCUAGAUUAAAUACCGGCUUUCUGCACCAACAAAAUAAUAACGGCACAUGUUAUUAUC
rnacentral:lncRNA from 1 species